ensembl:lncRNA
AUGAUCAAAGCAUGUUUUGAAGAUUCAACAUCAACUCUCUGUCUCUGUAGUUCACUUCUAGAGAGCUCCAGCUCUUGCUUCUCUUGCCUUAAAUUGUCCAUUUCUUUUUCUAUAUCUUCUUGCUUCCUCAGUAUUUCCAUGUUGAUCUUUUCAAGUGUAUCUUUCUUUUUCUCCAUUUCUUCAACAAUCCAACUUUUCUCUUCCAACUCAUGUUUCUGCUUCUCCAGUAUCCGCUCUCCCCUCUUUACUUCAGAAGUAAUGCCUUCCAGUUCAGCCUUUUUCUUUUCAUGCAGGGUUUUCAUGUCUUCCAUGGUUUGCCAUUGGUUUUGUAUGUCUCUGUUGAGCUGUUCCAGAUCACGCUUGUUUCUCAAGAGUUCCUUAGUGACCAUUUGCAGUUCUUCCUUGUUCUUUCUUGUAUCCUUAAACUCUUCCAUUAUUUCUUUAGCUAUUUCUACCUUAACCAGCUCUCUUUUGGUCUCCACAUCCUCCUUUUCUCUGUUUAUCUCAUCCUUCAACUGCUCCAGUUCUUCUCUUUCUUUCUGCAGCAUUUCUCUCAUGUUCUCUUCCACCUGUUUCUUUUCUUAAAAUAUCUUGCCAUUUCUUUUCAAUGAGGUUGUUUUCUGUAAGCGCUUGAGCUCUCAGCUGGUUUAUUCUCUCAAUCUCUUGUUUUGAAAAAUCUCUGUUUCUUUCAACCUCUUCUCUUGUUCUUUGAAUCUCGUCUUGCAGGUAUUUCAGCUCAUCUUUCUCUCUUUGGAUUAUAGCUCUCUGUUCCAGCCCUUCUUUCUCUGUUUCAUGCCAUCUUUGCUCCAUUUCCAUCUUCACUUGCUGUAUGUCAACUUUAAUCUGCUCAAAUUGGUCUCUUUGCCUCUUGAUGUCAUACUUCUUUCUCUCCAGGUCGCUUUUCUCCUCCUCUAUUUCAGCUUUCAUCUGCUCCAUCUGACACUUUGCUUUCUGUGUUUCCCCGAUCUUCAUCUCUAUCUCGUUGAUCUGAACUUGUAUGGCACUUUUCAUUUGUUCCAUUCGUUCCAUCUCGUACUUUGUGCUUUCACGGUUGCUCUCCAGCUCCUCCUUCUGUCUCAGAGUCUCAUAUCUGAUCAUCUCCAAGUUCUGUCUCUCUCUCAUGAUUUCAUCACGCUUUAGCUCCAGGGUGGUUUGCUCAGUUUGGAGAUCAGAUCUCAUUUGCUCAAUCCUCUCCCUCUCUCUAUUUACCUCUUCUUUAUUACGAUCCAUUCUUUCGCGGAUGUGGUCCAUCUCAGCUUUCAUGUGAGUAAUAGUUCUCUCAAGUUGUCUUUUCUCAGUGGUCAUCCUGACUAUCUCAUCUUGCUGUUGCUGAAUCCUCUGUCUCAUGUAGUCUAUCUCAGUCCUCUCUUGCUUAGUUCCUUCCCAAAGUUUCUCGAUCUGCUCAAUGGCACGCAUUGUUUUCUGUCUACGUCUUUUUAGAAAGUCUUUUCUCUUCUGGAUGUCACUCGUAUGCCCAUUCUUGUCAUCCUGUUUUCUUUUUUCUCUGGGAGGACUGCUUCUCUCUGUUUGCGUGUGCUUGCUGUUGCGUUGUCUCCAUUCUGCAAAAAUAAAUAAAUAAAAACAUAUUUAAAAAAAAAAGAU